rnacentral:rRNA from 1 species
GACGUAGGGCGCGAGCGUUGUCCGGAUUUAUUGGGCGUAAAGAGCUCGUAGGCGGCUCGUUGCGUCGGCUGUGAAAACCCGCAGCUCAACUGUGGGCUUGCAGCCGAUACGGGCGGGCUGGGAUUCGGUAGGGGAGACUGGAAUUCCUGGUGUAGCGGUGAAAUGCGCAGAUAUCAGGAGGAACACCGGUGGCGAAGGCGGCUUCCUGGACCGACACUGACGCUGAGGCGCGAAAGCUAGGGGAGCAAACGGG